rnacentral:rRNA from 1 species
UACAGAGGUCCCAAGCGUUGUUCGGAUUCACUGGGCGUAAAGGGUGCGUAGGCGGUCGGGUAAGUCUGAUGUGAAAUCUCACAGCUUAACUGUGAAACUGCAUUGGAUACUAUUCGGCUUGAGAGUUGGAGGGGGGACUGGAAUUCUUGGUGUAGCAGUGAAAUGCGUAGAUAUCAAGAGGAACACCAGUGGCGAAGGCGAGUCCCUGGACAACUUCUGACGCUGAGACACGAAAGCGUGGGUAGCAAACAGG